CCGCCAUGUUGCGAAGAACCGCAAAGUAGCUCACGUGAAGCAUGCUGUCAGUCGUUUCAUAAAGAGCUAGAGAGUUCUGUUUUGAAGCACGUGAGUCAACUCGAUAUCGAGAGAGCUGAAGACAAAAUACCUCAUACUGGACAAGACAAGAGGAAGAUAUGCAUAGGCUUAUUCUAGAUUGAUAAUUUUAUUGCAAUCCAGGACCAGGUAAACACUUGUGUUCUUAUGCAAUGAUCAAAUCAAAACUUAACCUGGCUCUCUCAGGGGAAUCCCCUUAGGGCAUCCCUACAGGGUACCCCCAAGUCAUCAAAAAUAGGGUCAUGAAAUUCUAGGGAAGGAAAAAAUUAAAAUGCACCACUAUUUUUUCUUUUCCAAGUGAUGUACCAUUGUUAUAGACUGCCACAUGUCAGGAUCCAAAAUAGUCAGCGAAAUUUUCAUUUUUCAAAAUCAGGAGAAUUCAGGGAAUAAUUGGGGAAAAUGGGAAGGUUUCCUUUAGUAUACUUUGAACAAAAAGAACUAGACCAAACUGCUAACUAUCUCCAUGCAAAUUAAUACUUAUAGUACAACAUACCCUCAACAACUGGCCACCAAACUAACUAAGCACAGGCACUGUUUAACUUGUACCAACAACCACUAACACCUUAUAGUAGUCUUUAACAGAUUUCUUGACCUCAACAGAACUCACAUGAUGUUCAACACAAACUUGACCAAAAAUAAACCAAUUGAAUCAGGCUAUAACUGAUCAGUAACUGAUUGUUACCUGCCUUUACAUAUUAAUGGCUUGACACAACCAACAACAUUACAGCAAACUGAUCCAGCAUUUUAAUGACAUUUCCUGAUCAACUGACUACCAAUGUUUCACUUGACCAAGAUGAAUUUUACUCAGGUUUUCAAAGCACCAGUCCUUUCACUCUAGACAAACUACUGAAUGAUACCACUUUCUUCUUUGUGGUUGUUAACUGGAGGGCACCUCAGAAUGCGACAUAGUCAAUUCCUCAAUCCCCCUCCCACCGUUCCCCCAUCCCAGUCUCUCACCCUGUCAUGAUUCUUUAUUAUUUCCGAGGUUUCCACAUGUUAAGGAUUAGUUUUGAGUUGAUCAUUGCAUACCGUAAUGUAAACCAAGUUCUGCUUUCAAUUUUGAAAUAUCACAGACAUGCUUGCUCGGAAAAAAAAUGAAAAUGCAUUGGCUCAGUAAGUAAAUUAGUUUUUGAAGUGGAUAACAUUUCUUUUGGUUGUAUUCUAUGUUGUUACUGUAUUUCCUCCUGAAACCCCUACAGGAGUUCCUGAUUUUUGUCCACAUGUGCAUGGGGGGAGAUGGGGAGGGGGGAGCUUUUUGGAAGAAGGGCUUAAUGGUAUUGCGUUUAAGGGGCUCUUCAAUUUUUUAACACCAUCUCAGACCAUAACAUGUCAAAACUGCAAUUUUUAGGUUAAAAAGGAAUUUUUGAAAGACCUCCUUAUUAGAAUGGAGACUCACUUUAAUCAGUGCUUCCAAUUCAAAGUUCUGGGAUUGUACAAAACAAUCAGAUGAUCUGUAUUGAUCAUUGACACCACCAGGAAAUACUACCCUUUUUGACAACAGCUGGGAGGGCUUAGAAAUUUAUGGCUGAAAGAGUGCUGAGCUACUGGUUCACUGCUCAUAUGAUCACCCACCAUAUGGAUCAAAACAGGAAAAAGAAAGAAAUUGGGGCUCAGAGAUACUGGAUAGAAGGAGUUGAAAGGAAAUUCUGACUGAUAUUCACUGUGUAACACCUUGAUUGGUGUCCUUGUACAUGGGCCUGAGGAUGAGUGAAAGAGAUUGUUCUGUGAUGAUUAGUUUUCACAUUCUAGAUAGCAUCCUGCCAUUGAGGUCAUUAGAAUCAAAAAUAAAUAUGCAUGGGAGUGCUUUGAGGGGAGGGGUGAGGGUUACUACAACACCAUCUCGCCUUUUCAGAGGUACAAAGCUCAUCUGGGGGUAUGUAUG